rnacentral:rRNA from 1 species
CGGGUGAGUAACACGUGGAUAACCUACCUAUAAGACUGGGAUAACUUCGGGAAACCGGAGCUAAUACCGGAUAAUAUUUUGAACCGCAUGGUUCAAAAGUGAAAGACGGUCUUGCUGUCACUUAUAGAUGGAUCCGCGCUGCAUUAGCUAGUUGGUAAGGUAACGGCUUACCAAGGCAACGAUGCAUAGCCGACCUGAGAGGGUGAUCGGCCACACUGGAACUGAGACACGGUCCAGACUCCUACGGGAGGCAGCAGUAGGGAAUCUUCCGCAAUGGGCGAAAGCCUGACGGAGCAACGCCGCGUGAGUGAUGAAGGUCUUCGGAUCGUAAAACUCUGUAUUAGGGAAGAACAUAUGUGUAAGUAACUGUGCACAUCUUGACGGUACCUAAUCAGAAAGCCACGGCUAACUACGUGCCAGCAGCCGCGGUAAUACCGUAGGUGGCAAGCGUUAUCCGGAAUUAUUGGGCGUAAAGCGCGCGUAGGCGGUUUUGUUAAGUCUGAUGUGAAAGCCCACGGCUCAACCGUGGAGGGUCAUUUGUAAACUGGAAACUUGAGUGCAGAAGAGGAAAGUGGAAUUCCAUGUGUAGCGGUGAAAUGCGCAGAGAUAUGGAGGAACACCAGUGGCGAAGGCGACUUUCUGGUCUGUAACUGACGCUGAUGUGCGAAAGCGUGGGGAUCAAACAGGAUUAGAUACCCUGGUAGUCCUACGCCGUAAACGAUGAGUGCUAAGUGUUAGGGGGUUUCCGGCCCACUUAGUGCUGUACUAACGCAUUAACACUCCG